AUAGCGUAUAUUAAAGUUGUUGCAGUUAAAAAGCUCGUAGUUGAACCUUUGGCCUGGCUGGCCGGUCCGCCUCACCGCGUGCACUUGUCCGGCCGGGCCUUUUCUUCUGGAGAACCGCAUGCCCUUCACUGGGUGUGUUGGGGACCAGGACUUUUACUUUGAAAAAAUUAGAGUGUUCAAAGCAGGCCUUUGCUCGAAUACGUUAGCAUGGAAUAAUAGAAUAGGACGUGCGGUCCUAUUUUGUUGGUUUCUAGGAUCGACGUAAUGAUUAAUAGGGAUAGUUGGGGGCAUUAGUAUUCAAUUGUCAGAGGUGAAAUUCUUGGAUUUAUUGAAGACUAACUACUG
rnacentral:rRNA from 1 species